rnacentral:rRNA from 1 species
UUUUGCUGGCAAGCGGCGAACGGGUGAGUAAUAUCUGGGGAUCUGCCCAAUGAAGGGGGAUAACUACUGGAAACGGUAGCUAAUACCGCAUAAUGUCGGGAGACUAAAGUGGGGGAUUAUAAAUAUAUUUUUAUAACCUCAUGUCAUUGGAUGAACCCAGACGAGAUUAGCUAGUAGGUAAGGUAAUGGCUUACCUAGGCUACGAUCUCUAGCUGGUCUAAGAGGAUGGACAGCCACACUGGAACUGAGAUACGGUCCAGACUCCUACGGGAGGCAGCAGUGGGGAAUAUUGCACAAUGGGGGAAACCCUGAUGCAGUCAUGCCGCGUGUGUGAAGAAGGCCUUAGGGUUGUAAAGCACUUUCAGCAGGUAAGAAGUUAGUUGUACUAAUAAUACAAUUAAUUGACGUCAACUGCAGAAGAAGCACCGGCUAACUCCGUGCCAGCAGCCGCGGUAAUACGGAGGGUGCGAGCGUUAAUCGGAAUUACUGGGCGUAAAGGGUACGUAGGCUGUUUAUUAAGUCGGAUGUGAAAUCCCUAAGCUUAACUUAGGAACUGCAUUCGAAACUGAUAUUCUAGAGUCUCGUAGAGGGGAGUAGAAUUCCAGGUGUAGCGGUGAAAUGCGUAGAGAUCUGGAGGAAUACCAGUGGCGAAGGCGACUCCCUGGACGAAGACUGACGCUCAGGUACGAAAGCAUGGGGAGCAAACAGGAUUAGAUACCCUGGUAGUCCAUGCCGUAAACGAUGUCGAUUUGAAGGUUGCAGAUAGUUAUAUUGUGGCUUUCGUAGCUAACGCGUUAAAUCGACCGCCUGGGAAGUACGGCCGCAAGGCUAAAACUCAAAUGAAUUGACGGGGGCCCGCACAAGCGGUGGAGCAUGUGGUUUAAUUCGAUGCAACACGAAGAACCUUACCUACUCUUGACAUCCAAAGAACUUAACAGAAAUGUUUUGGUGCCUUCGGGAACUUUGAGACAGGUGCUGCAUGGCUGUCGUCAGCUCGUGUUGUGAAAUGUUGGGUUAAGUCCCGCAACGAGCGCAACCCUUAUCCUUUGUUGCCAGCGAUACGGUCGGGAACUCAAAGGAAACUGCCAGUGAUAAACUGGAGGAAGGCGGGGAUGACGUCAAGUCAUCAUGGCCCUUACGAGUAGGGCUACACACGUGCUACAAUGGUAUAUACAAAGAGAAGCUAACCUGCGAAGGUAAGCAAAACUCAUAAAAUAUAUCUUAGUUCGGAUUGGAGUCUGCAACUCGACUCCAUGAAGUCGGAAUCGCUAGUAAUCGUGGAUCAGAAUGCCACGGUGAAUACGUUCCCGGGCCUUG